rnacentral:sRNA from 1 species
GAAGCUGAACAACACAGGCAAUACCACGACUACCACCACCAUAACACAAAUCUACAAUCCCCUCCAAUGAACAUUGUUUACUUAGAGCUACUCUUAUUUUGACACUACCACUGUCUUAGUCACCUAGAGCCAAACCCUCACUCUGAUUGUCCUUCCCGUACGUGGUUAGUGUCCAAUUCUCAUCCAUCCACUAAUACAUGUUCCUAAUCACCACACAGGCCUGGCCAAGCAGAGGCUGUACCCAUUUGUCCACAGUGAUUUACCUGAGAACUUAGCACGUGAGUCAGAGAAAAUCAGUCUGAGGUCUUCGUUGAUUUUGUAUAUGCACCAUGAAAGGAAGGCCUCUCCAUCUUUAGAUCUUACACUAUAAACUAUGCUUAAGGGUAAGUACCUUUUCCUCUUUGUAACAUGUGUCUAUAGGGAGAGAGAAUCAAUCUGCAAGAAAAAGGAAGCAGAAACUAAGAGCAAAUGAAUGGAGAGAGUUCUGACCUUGUUUGUGUCUCCUGAAUCCGCCAUGCCUGAAGUCUGCUCUAAGAUCGUCUAACUCAUAAGGGGACAUGUUGGUUGGGUUCUGUCAAACCUAGACAUAUCUGGGAAGAGGGAUUCUUAACUGAGAAAAUUCAUCCAUAAGAUUUACCUGUGGGCACAUCUCUGGGACAUUUUCUUCAUUAAUGCUUGAUGUGAGAGGGCCCAACUCAUGGAAGGGGGUGCCACCCUGAGUAGAAUAAGAAACCCGUUUGUAUAAGAAACCAGGCUGAACAAGCUAGAAGGAACAAGCCAGCAAGCAACAUUCUUCCAUGACCUCUGUGUCAAAUCCUGCCUCCAGGUUCCUGCCUCGAGUUCUUGCUUUGACUUCUCUCAGUAAUGGACUUGGAUGGGGAACUUCAAGCUGAAGUAAAUGCUUUCUUCCCUAAGUUGCUUUGGUUCAUGGUGUUUUAUCACAGCAGUGGAAAACCAACUAAGACAGGCCAAGAGAGUAUCCUCCCCUAACCCAGUCUGAAUCUGGCUUCUUUCCCUUGCACUAAGAUGUCUUCGCUGUCCCUCUACCAGAGAGCAAUGUCAUGUACUCACUCAUGUGCACUCUAGGAGUCCUCUCCACAGAAGUCUUACGAUCAGAGACACCCAGUCAGUGUGUUGCCCUAGACUCCUGGCUUGGCCUCGAGGUGCAGGAUAUAUCCUAACUCUGUGUAAUGAGGAGAAGGGAAAGUGACCUCUGAGGUGGCUGAAACAGAAAGGAAAGUCAGGCGUUAGGAAACUGCAGGGUGACAGCACCUCCGAGCAGGGUGACAGAGAUUUGUUCGUUGAUUGGGAGGACGCUUUAACAAUGGAAGGGAAAGCAAGACAGCGGUUCAGCUGGGUUCUGGGGAGCAGGGGUUGUGCACCUGCAAACCCAUUUAGACAUCAGCCUCACAUUUCCUCGCUGAUUACUUUGUCCUUGUUAAUAGCCGCUGAGAUUUCAUUUUCCCCUCCACCAGUCCUAAUUGCUCGACAUAACAGUAGGCAUCGUGGGAGCCACAAAGAUGAAUAAUACCCAGACGCGGCCCUCGCUUCUUAAAUACCUAUUACAGGAGCAGCCAAGGUAACUUCCUGAGGAUAAACUUGGUGCUGGGGAGAAAACAAAAAAACAACAAAAAAUCCCACCAUCGCGUUAUGUAAGUUUCUAUUUUAAAAUCAUCUGGUUCUAAUUUGCUAACGUUUAACGCUUUCUAGCUAAUGCCAAAAGCGCUACGUUUGAUUUAUGGAAAUACUUCAGCACAUUUUUCCAUCGCGGCCUUGUACAAUAUAGUUACCACCCCCUUUUGUUAUGGUUAGAAAGAUUACGGGCCUUAAAACAGCCUCCUUUAUGAGCUCGCCGAUAUUUUAUCAUAAAAUUCCGUAAGCUGGAGUGAAGUAGUGUAGCAGCAGUAUUUGGAGACCAUUCCACAGGGUUCAACUUUAUUUUCCUUUUUUUCCUAUUUAACAAAAUGCUCCAUCUGGAAAGUGGAUGCUCAAAAACUUUCACUAUGCGGAACCACUUCUUUUCAUGGCAGACAGUAUUUUUUUUUUUCUUUCUUUCUUUGGGGAUGGUGGUGGCCGGGGCAGGGGUAGAUGUUUAGACACGUGUCACACCAAGCUACACUGUGGUCCAAAUAAUAGCAUCAACACCAAAGGGUAAAAGCUCGCACCGGCCCAGACUUCCUAUACGCCAUAGAGCGAGCCCUCAGAACAUUGCAGGCAAAUGGAGUGAACGUCAGAAAACCUUAUAGGUACUGUUGGUGUCUGGGGUUCAGGAGGUCAUGGCAGAGUGUGGCUCAGGCUGAUGGGACCUUAGGCUGAUGUGCAUGCUCCAAGACAGGGACCUAUAGUUCCAGAGAGAGGCAAAGGCAGACCUACUCAGGCUCCAGGAAUGAAAUGUAUUGAUCUAUUUUGUGAUGCUAGGGAUUGAAUCCUGGGCUUUAUGUUUGCUAGAUAACUCAACCACUGAGCCACAUCCUUAGUCCUUCAAUAAGUUAUAUACAGACACACACAGAUAUAAUAUAGACACAUAAUAUAUUCACUUGUAUUUAUAAUAUAGACACAAAUAAAUAUGUUAUAUAUACACAUAUAACAAAUACAACACACACACACACACACACACACACACAACACAUACUCAUUUUCAGGUGCUAUAAACUUUGGGCCUCAAGCAGUUCUCUAUCCCUGAACUCUGUUCCCAGCAGGAUUGGGCCACUUUUUAGUUCUUCUAGUCUUAAGUUUAGCCAUAUGACUCAGCAUGGUCAUUUGUUAACCACCUCAAGACACUGUACAGAACAAUCAAGGACUUCGAAGCACAUUUUGGCCUAAGCCUUUCUGACGACGUGCAGGGUCCAGUUGAGGAAGCCAUUCUUAAAGGUCACUGGACUCAGUGUGCUCUUUCGGUUUCUCUUCUCUGCAGGAAGUCAGGGUUUUCACUUCACACCCACAAAAACCAAGAUGGCUGCCCAGGAAACUGCCCCUGCUCUGCCUGGCUCAUGUAGCCCUUUAAAACGAAGAGGUUUUGUUUCUUCUCAAGCAGAGUUCAGGCAGCUCUUUGCAGUGACAACCUCCAAAAGGCAUGGGGCUUUGCCAUGAUUUGUGGUAUCAAGAAAUAGGAAUCUACUUACGUGGCAUUGUAUCUUUGGCGCAAACUUAGAGAAGUCUCCCGCUCCCAAUGGACAGCAUACAUCUAUGGAAUGAUAGCCACACUUAACUACCUAAAACAAACAAGUGGACACGACCAGCACAGCUGAGAUCUUGAAGGAACCUACUCAUCUUAUAGGCCUCCGAUGACGUAGCUCUGAGGUAAGGAAACAGUGGGGUAUUUAACUUCAGCAGGGGUAGACUACGAGAGACACUUUUCCCGAGUAUCAUGUCUGUGUGCAGCAGGACUCCAGGGAACAGGCCUUCAAAGUUGCCAACCAUCUUCAUGAUCAUGUAAUCAACAAGGCACUGGGAUGGAGACCAUUCACCCUUCAGGUUGCUGACCUCACUAUGAUUUACAUCACUAGAGAUGCUUCAGAACCCGAAGGAGGAAGGCAAUACUUUAAGCAGGAGGCAGAGAAAUUAGAAGACCAGAGAAGGGAAUGGGUGAGAAUCAGGGUGGGAGGUUGGGUGUUCUAAACAAAGAUGGCAACACAAAGGCUAGCUGUGGAUAAAUGGCACCAGAGCAUUGCUUCAAUGGGCACAAGAUUUCAGAUUCCUUUACUCAUGUGUUUUCCCUGCUUCAGAAGGGUGGGGAAACCCACUCAGCUCGAGUAAGUCCAUCUCUGCUACAGAAGGCUUUGGGACCAUGGUUGGGGAUGGUCUUAGCAGUGACCAGCUUUAGGUAGAGUCUGUUUACUUCUUGGAGGGCAAUGCAUGAAGAGAGGAGGAGAAGGUGCAUGCUCAGAGUUCCACAGUUGAAUCUACAGAAGGGGGGGCAUUCUAAGAGUGAAUCAAUCAAUGUAAGUCUUGAAAGAGUGAAGGUGAAAAGGCCUUAGCCUUGUUAGGCAGGGUGAUUCAUGGACCUAAUCACGGUGCAUGGCACACUAAGGCAGGAGGAGGUGAAUUGUAUGAUAACUGACUUGUUAGUGAGUCCACCCCUCCGGUCUCUGUGGAAAGCAGAGUCAUUGUUGUGCCGCAAUAGUUACAGGUGGCCGGGGCUGAAGCCCAGCUCACCAAGGACACUUUAGUCUUUAUCCUAGAGUCUGGUCUCCCUGGCUUCCACCGCUCUCGCCUCCCCCGUGUCACCCAGCCAUUUCUGCAGCUGUUGUUGGUAAGGGGGAUGAUAAACACACGCAUAGUUGAAGAAUGACUAGAUCACGUAGUUCUGCAUUCGUGCCGCUGCUCUGUAAACUGGGCUGGAGUAUUGAGAAACAGCCACGAGCCGCAGGACACAUCUUUGCCCUUGGUUCGUAUAUAUUGAUAUAUUUUCCCAAGCUCCUCCUUGGUGGUCCCAGGACAGUAGUCCUUUCACAGGGCUGCCCAUGGCUGAGCUAGCCUGCCAAGCCAAUGACUCCUCCCUCUCUGCUUUCUCCCUUGGAUUCCCACCCUAGGGGUAGGGGUGGGGGUGAGAGUGGGGGAGUUUGCCUUUCUUUUGUCUAAGGUGAAAAGUCAGGGUUUCCACAUCUCAAAGGAGAACUUAUUACGUGGUGAAAACAAGUUAAUCCUGCUCUUCGCCUCCAUUGAUAAAUCUUUUUACUUUUAAAAGAUGGCGUCUCAUAGAUAUCAGGCUAACCUCAGACACGCUGUGUUUAGUAUUGAUCCUCCGGCCUUCCCAAUCUCCGCUGGUCUGUGCCACCAAGCCAUUCUUCAAUCUCAUGCUUCUUUCGCCUGUCAGUGUUUCUUCUAGGAAAAGACAGACUGAGUGGAAGACACAAUGCCAUAGGCUCCAUGCUCUCAAAACCUCCAGAAACCUCAACAAAACAACUGUUUCCUCCUCUUGCUUUACUUGGGCUGUGUCAUGUCUCUUACUAUGUGCACAUCUGCAUUGGUCCUGGUUUGCAAUGAGGGUUUCUUCUCUCAUUGGACUAGGCAAGCUGUGCCUGAUGAAUUUACUUCAAGGUCAUUAACUAGAGAAAGACAGAGUCCCAUUUUUCACAAAUAGCAGUGGGCACGUCUUUCUUUCCUCCCUAACAUCAGGUUGAUUGGUUUCUUGCGGCCUUCUCCACUGUCCUUGGCUUACACAGCCCCUAGAAAUAUGUGACCAAGGUUCAGAGCCAAAAAAGUGAGACUACAGAGGAUUCUCUGUGUUCAAGAAAGAAUAGCUGGGAGCUGCCCUGGGAGGUCCUCUUCCUGUUACUGGCUUCAUUCUGGUCAUACUUCAAUGCACACUCCCUCAAGGGGGCAAAGAACACUGUUCAUCCCAUACACACAUUGGAUUGGUUUAACUCCUCCUAGUCCCUUGUAACUGCCUGCUCUCUUUUCCCUUCUCUCCAGGUUCAACUAAUUGCUUCUCUCUGGACCCCGAAACCAUUGGCCUGUGCAUGCCUGAGCCUGCCUCCUCCAGCAGCAGCAAGGUCUAGGGAGUGUUGGUCACUAGGCUCUAUUUCUUUUUAUAGAUUAUUAGCAGAUCUUCAAAGCAACCAUGGGCUUUGUGUUAGCCAAUGGGAAGAAGAAGAGUGUGUCUUUUUAACUGUUGCCUCGUUAACCUGGUUCCUUGAAGGUAAACAAGGAUAAAGUAGAGAUAUGUUAGGACCCUUGUAAUAUUGAGAAUCACAUAGGUAUAUGAUUACCUACAUCCAUAUUUUUGCAUAUUUAAACCUAGUAGAUGUAUUUUUGUUGUUUGAUCUGACUUUUUCUUUUUUUUAAAUUUUUUGAGAUAGUCCUUAGGCUAACCUCAAAAUUGCUAGAUAGUUGAGGAAUGUUUCAAAUUUCUGAUGCUAGUAUUCUAAGUGAGAGCCACCAUACCCAGACCUAACAGAUACAUUCUUGAAAAUUAUAUUUAUAUAUAUACACAUAUAUAUAUACACACACAUACAUACACACACAUAUAUAUGUAAAUGUAUACACACACAUAUUAAAAAACAGGGUUGUAAAUAAAUAGUGCCUCUCUCUGCUUAGCUUUUACCAAAACAAGUCCAUACCAAGGGAUCGAGUUUGCUUAUGGAGAGGGCAGUCUAGAUCGUGACAAAUGCCAUACACACGCACACACAAUGAGUGCCUCGGAGGCCAAGGCUUGUGACCGUAUCUCUGCCGACUCCCUCAUAAUGUUCAUUACACGGUCCCACCCUGGGCUGAACUCCAUGCUCCCUUUCCAGCUGGCAGAGUUCAUCCUGUUAGUAGUGACUCAGUAUGACUUCAUUUAUUUCAAGGCUUUGAGUCAAUAGCAAGACCCACAUUCCCCAAGGCAUUAUUUGCACAACUGGAGGCAGAAAUGAACACCCAGUAACACGGAGGGCACCUGUAUCCUUAGAGAAUCACCUGGUCUGGGCUUGCUCUUUGGGUAACACCUCUAUCCACCCAAACAGCCUCCUUUCCACACGGGCCAGGAUGAACAAACAAGAAUCUGAAGUGCUCUGUGUUCUUUUGUGUGUGACUGGGUCUUUCCUCUCUAGAACUUUCCGAGUUGCCCGCACAAAGGGCCCUUCCCUAUCCAGAGUUGCUAUACCCCUUUCUCAUGGUGCCACUUAGCCAAAUGCUACGAUGAGAAAACUGUGGGCUCUUUUGUCUGUGUUCUUUGUUUCAGAGCAAAACCAAACUGUUGUAUUGAGAGCCAGUUGCAAGAGUCCCUCUCAGCAUGAAGCCCAGGAACCAGCUUAGAACUGAAGUCAUUGUUUGCUCUGAGCGUCACUGAAACACUUCAAGUUUGCACGUAUUCUCAUCUCAAAGUUUUACGGGAGUAAUAAAGGUGGUUUAUUACCACAGAUAUGCUUUCAGACUGAUAAUAUGGCCCCUGAUCCAUCUGACCCUGUGGACGGGGAGUGUCCCUACAUCUGUUCUGUAGGGUCACCCAGGCUGUGCCCUUAGAUUCUUACUCAGACUUGGAAACGAUGCCCCAGUCACGAGUCACACAUCAGCCCUUGGUACAAGGUUAAUGCAGCGGGGAUCACAAACUCUGGGUCCUUCCAACAGGCAAGGGUGUGACAUUAUGGCUAAACCUCACUUUAUUGCAGCCGUCUACAGUGCUUCCUGCUCUCCAGGAGGAUGAAUGCCUGGGAGUUCCCCCUGAAAAGUUCCGUGAUCCAUGCCUCAGUCCAUGUGCCCCUUGAGCCCGCUGUGUUUAAAGAACCAUCCUCCAAGUAGGUAGCGCUGAGCUGAGCACGGCCCAUUGCAGCAUAGGGAGAACCACAGCACAUCUGUCCAGACGGGCAGACCCCAUGCUUCCCGAACAUCAAAUGCCAGCGAGAAUGUAGAAGACAAAGGGGUCUUUGUGCAUGGUUGGAUGGAAGGAAACGGGUGUCGCCAUUAUGAAAAAAAAAUGGUAUGCAGAUGCUUCAAAAAAUUGAAAACAGAGUUAGCAUAUGAUAGAGUAAUCCUACUACUGGAUAUCUGUCCAAAGGAAGUGAACUUAGCAUGUCAAAAGUUAUCUGUAUCCUCCUUGUCCCUGCUGCACUGUUGGCAACAGAAAGAUCUGGAAACAACUGGUAUAUUUGCUGAUAAAUGACGUGACGAGGAAUACACA